AUUAGACGAAUCAUCUGGAAAGAUGAAUCAAAGAAGGUAAUAAUCCUGUAGUCGAAAAUGUUGUCUCUCUUGAGUGGAUCCUGAGUACGACGGAGCACGUGAAAUUCCGUCGGAAUCUGGGAGGACCAUCUCCUAAGGCUAAAUACUCUCUAGUGACCGAUAGUGAACCAGUACCGUGAGGGAAAGGUGAAAAGCACCCCGGAAGGGGAGUGAAAUAGAACCUGAAACCGUGUGCUUACAAGUAGUCAGAGCCCGUUAAUGGGUGAUGGCGUGCCUUUUGUAGAAUGAACCGGCGAGUUACGAUUUGAUGCAAGGUUAAGCAGUAAAUGUGGAGCCGUAGCGAAAGCGAGUCUGAAUAGGGCGUUUAGUAUUUGGUCGUAGACCCGAAACCAGGUGAUCUACCCUUGGUCAGGUUGAAGUUCAGGUAACACUGAAUGGAGGACCGAACCGACUUACGUUGAAAAGUGAGCGGAUGAACUGAGGGUAGCGGAGAAAUUCCAAUCGAACCUGGAGAUAGCUGGUUCUCUCCGAAAUAGCUUUAGGGCUAGCCUCAAGUGAUGAUUAUUGGAGGUAGAGCACUGUUUGGACGAGGGGCCCCUCUCGGGUUACCGAAUUCAGACAAACUCCGAAUGCCAAUUAAUUUAACUUGGGAGUCAGAACAUGGGUGAUAAGGUCCGUGUUCGAAAGGGA
rnacentral:rRNA from 1 species